rnacentral:rRNA from 1 species
AUUGAACGCUGGCGGCAGGCCUAACACAUGCAAGUCGAGCGAGCGGCGGGCGGGUGAGUAAUGUAUGGGGACUGCCCGAAAGCGGGGGAUAACAACUGGAAACGGUAGCUAAUACCGCAGACUAUCGGAUAACCGAUAUGGGAUUAGCUUGGUGGUGAGGGAAUGGCUCAAAAAGGCGACGAGCCCUAGCUGGUCUGCGAGGAUGAUCAGCAACACUGGUACUGAGACACGGCCCAGACUCCUACGGAGGCAGCAGUGGGGAAUAUUGCACAAUGGGCGAAAGCCUGAUGCAGCCAUGCCGCGUGUAUGAAGAAGGCCCUAGGGUGGUAAAGUACGUUCAUUCGGGAGGCGUUACCGACAGAAGAAGCACCGGCUAACUACGUGCCAGCAGCCGCGGUAAUAC